rnacentral:rRNA from 1 species
AACUCAAAUGAAUUGACGGGGGAGCACCACAACGGGUGGAGCUUGCGGUUUAAUUGGAUUCAACGCCGGAAAUCUUACCGGGACCGACAGCAAUAUGAAGGCCAGGCUGAAGACUUUGCCGGAUUAGCUGAGAGGUGGUGCAUGGCCGUCGUCAGUUCGUACUGUGAAGCAUCCUGUUAAGUCAGGCAACGAGCGAGACCCACGCCCACAGUUGCCAGCGUACUCUCUGGAGUGACGGGUACACUGUGGGGACCGCCGCUGCUAAAGCGGAGGAAGGAAUGGGCAACGGUAGGUCAGUAUGCCCCGAAUAUCCCGGGCUACACGCGAGCUACAAUGGUUGGUACAAUGGGUAUCUACCCCGAAAGGGGACGGGAAUCUCCUAAAACCAAUCUUAGUUCGGAUUGAGGGCUGCAACUCGCCCCCAUGAAGCUGGAAUCCGUAGUAAUCGCGUUUCAACAGAACGCGGUGAAUACGUCCCUGCGUCCUU